UGGGGAAAUAUUGCACAAUGGGCGCAAGCCUGAUGCAGCAACGCCGCGUGAGGGAUGACGGCCUUCGGGUUGUAAACCUCUUUUAGCAGGGAAGAAGCGAAAGUGACGGUACCUGCAGAAAAAGCACCGGCUAACUACGUGCCAGCAGCCGCGGUAAUACGUAGGGUGCAAGCGUUGUCCGGAAUUAUUGGGCGUAAAGAGCUCGUAGGCGGUCUGUCGCGUCUGCUGUGAAAUCCCCGAGGCUCAACCUCGGGCCUGCAGUGGGUACGGGCAGACUAGAGUGCGGUAGGGGAGAAUGGAACUCCUGGUGUAGCGGUGGAAUGCGCAGAUAUCAGGAAGAACACCGAUGGCGAAGGCAGUUCUCUGGGCCGUAACUGACGCUGAGGAGCGAAAGCGUGGGGAGCGAACAGGAUUAGAUACCCUGGUAGUCCACGCCGUAAACGUUGGGCGCUAGAUGUGGGGCACCAUUCCACGGUUUCCGUGUCGCAGCUAACGCAUU
rnacentral:rRNA from 1 species